GUUCCGGCCCUGGAGUUCCGGCCCUGGAGUUCCGGCCCCGGAGCGGAGCUUCUGCCGAGCAGAGGCGGGGCCUGGGGACUGGGCGUUAACAUCCGGCUUUGACCAGCCAGAGGGAUCCUUCUAAACGUACUGGGAUAUCAGAUGAUGUCAUGCCCUGGUCUCCACUUACCAAAAACUUCCCAGCACACAUGGAAUAAAAUCUAGCUCUGCACUCCUCUCCAACCUCAUUCAUCUCCUUCAACAUUCCCCUCAUUCAUCAUUCUCCAGUCACACUAAUCUCCUUGCUGUUCCUCAAACCCAGCAAGGAAAGCUUCCACCUUGGUGCUUUGUCAUCUUCACACCAUCUCUAAAGGGUAUGUUCUGUUUUCCCGUUUCCUGUCACCUGUAGAUGAAGAGGUGAAGCCUCAUAGAAAUGAAUUAUGUUGCCCAAAGUGGCGGAGUCAGAGUGGGAAUAUAGGUCCAUCUGGCUCCUCAGCUGUUCAUUUGCCCCCACCUUACCCAGCUGCCUAACACUUCAUUCAUGCAUGCAUUUAAAAUCAUUUUUAUUUAGCAUCUACUAAGGCCAUGCACCAUUAUUGGGAUAGAGUCCUUUCCCUCACGGAGCUUUACAUCCUACUGAGAAAGACAUAGUAAACCAAAUAAAUAAGUAUGCAAUGUAACAUUAGAGUGAUAUAAAAAAAUAAAUAAAGGCAGAGGACUGAGAGGGAUAGGGUACAAUUUUGGCUAGGUGGUCAGGGGAAACUUCUCUGAGGAGUGGUAUGUGAGCAGAGACCUGAACCUACACUCAGGUCUAUCAGAAGGAUGAAUAUUAUGAAGGACAUUCUAGAAAAUGUAUAUAAAGGGAAUCAUAUAAUAAUACGUGGUCUUUUGUGACUACCUUCUUUCACUUAGCACAAUGUUUUUAAGGCUCAUCCAUGUCAUGACACGUAUCAAUACUCCAUUCCUUUUUAUGGCCAAAUAACAUUCCAUUGUAUGGAUGUACAGUAGUCCCCCCAUAUCCAUCUUUCACUUUCUGCGGUUUCAGUUACCCACAAUCAACUGCAGUAUAAAAAUAGGUGCUGUCAGAUUGCCUGCCAUCUUGAAAGUCCCUUCAACCCAAAUCCUUUCUGUGGACUCAUCACACAAGGUACCACCUUAUGACUACUCCAGGUAGUCAUAUUUCUGUAAGUUUUUUGGUCAGAUUUCGUUGUUUCUGCUCAUUGUGAUUACUAGGUCAAAUGUUUCCAAAAUAAAAUUGAUUUUUUUUUCCCCCAAAGAGACAAGGUCUGACUAUUUUGCCCAGGCUGGUCUCAAAGUCCUGGGCUCAAGUGAUCCUCCCACAAUGGCCUCCCAAAAUGCUGGGAUUACAGGCAUGAGCUACCAUGCCUGGCAAUCCACUAUCAAUUUUUCAGAAAACUCAGCAAAAAUCAAUAUAAAAAAAACCUUCUAAAACUAAAAGUGAGGUAGAAUGAUGGUGGGUUCUGAACUCAAGACCAUGGUUUGAAAAAAUGGGUAGGACAUGGAUAGCUAAAUUAAAAGGCCAAAAAGAGGUGGAGCUCAAGACGUCUUGGAGUGAGGCUUAGAUGGUGAGGCCAGGAAGGAUGCAGGUAGCAAUUUGACUUUAGUUUGAGUCCCCCAGUUCUCUAAAGUACCCCCCACCCCACCCAAUCUGGUCCCCUCAUUAAUAGGACUUGUUUGGAUGCUGCAGGCAUUUGAACACCCAUCUCAUGUUGGAAAUAAGCUCAUACACAAAAACUGAACUCUUCCUUCUUAGGCACCAAAGCCAUAGUCCUGGAGUGGAGAAUUUGCAUCUCUCUUUCUUCUGAGAGAAACUCUAGUACAUUUCAAUUCUGUUUCCUUCUGGGAUGGAGUGGAAAGGUCCUGAUAGUGACCCUUCCUAGAAACAAAGGAGGGGAGUGAGCACAGCCUGAGGAAGCCCCUUCCAGGGCUGGAAAGAUGACAUCUUUGCCCCUCUCCCUCUGCUGGGCUAGGGCAGGCAGCCCCUUCCCUGGGCCACAUCUGAGGUCGCUAUAGGUUAUGGUGGAUUUCAGUAAAAAACAAUAAUUCUGCAUCAUUUUUUUCUUUCCACUCCUUUUUUCAAAAGUAAGAGCUGGUUUUCUUGUUUGCUUUUUUCUUUCCCAAUGGUAGGAGGAAUGUUGGGAUUGUCCGGAAUGGGGAGGGCCUACCCCUUCCCUCUUCAAAACCCUAGAGAUUAUAUGCCUGCAUAUACUUUUCCCUCAGUGGCCUCCAAUUCUGAUCAGAAGUUGGUGUUAUAGGGGUAGUUCUGGCAAAGGGUGGGGGCCCACACUCCCAGACAUGCACAUCCUUUUCCCUCAUCAGACCUGACUCUGAGGAGCCACUGCAUAAUUGAUGCUAUGGUGUGAAUGUCUCCUCCAAAAUUCAUGUUGAAAUUCAAUUGCCAUUAUGAUGAGAUUUAUGGGUGGGACCUUUAAGAGAUGAUUAGGUUACGAGGGCUGAGCCCUCAAGAACAAUGCCAAUAUCACAGGAGUGGAUUAGUUAUACUGGAGUGGGUUCCUGAUAAAAAGGGUAAUUCCAGCCCCCUUUUGCUCUCUGUCUCACAUAUUCGCUUGCUCUACUGUCUUCACCAUGGGAUGAUGCAGCAUAAAGGCCCCCACCAGAUGCUGGCACCAUGCUCUUGGACUUCCCAUCCUCUAGAACUGUAAGCCAAAUAAAUUUUUGUACAUUAUAAAUCACUCAGUCUGUGACAUUCUGUUAUAACAGCAGAAAACGGAUUAAGACAGCUAACUUCAUGCCUGGGGGAGGCAAGUGGGGAGAGGCCUUGGAGUCAGUAACUCUUUCUUUUUUCAUCCUUUCCUUGAAUGAGGUGUCCAAAACACGUCAUGCUUCUUCUUGCAAACUCCAAUUGGGCAAACAAAUUUGCUGGAGCCUAGGAAGACCCUCUCCAGUGAAUAGUUAUUGGCCCAAGACAGAAAAUCAGAGCCAGGGCAUGUGGAGUUUAUCCAAAAGUCUGGGCAAUUUGGGCUCUGAGGGAGGAAGAUUUUAAAAGGGUGUGGCUAAAGGGCAGAUCCUUGGCCUGAAAAACAAUGGAUGGAGUAUGGCUAGGUUGCCUCAGACCAGUUAUUAAAGGGAUGAUGUGUGGGUAUCAUUAGCAGGACUGGGCCCUAGAAUUGGAGGGCCAAGGGGACAUGGUAUCGGAGCUAUGUUUAGGGGUCUUUACAUCUAUUAUUGUUGAUCUGACAUGGGGAGUAGCUAAGAGGCCCAAAGCAAUGACUCAUGACUAGAGAACAGUUUGGGCAUGGUUAAAGGACCUGCCUCUGCAAUCUGGAAGGCUGCAGAGGGGAUGUGGUUAAAGGGUCCCUGGAACUGGAGGACAUGAGCAGAUCAUUAAGGACUGCAAAAAUUUAGUGGAAUAGAGAAGUAUUCAGCAAAGACACCUGCAG